GGGGGCGUAGCUCAGCUGGCUAGAGCACUUGCUUUGCAAGCAAGAAGUCGUGGGUUCGAGUCCCAUCGCCUCCA
rnacentral:tRNA from 1 species